GAUGAACGCUAGCGGCAGGCCUAAUACAUGCAAGUCGAGUGGUAGAAGAGGCUUGCUUCUUUGAGACCGGCGCACGGGUGCGUAACGCGUAUGCAACCUACCUUCAUCUGGGGGAUAGCCCGGAGAAAUCCGGAUUAAUACCGCAUAAAUCACAGGAUGGAAUUAUCCAAUGAUCAAACAUUUAUGGGAUGGAGAUGGGCAUGCGUGUCAUUAGCUAGUUGGCGGGGUAACGGCCCACCAAGGCGACGAUGACUAGGGGAUCUGGGAGGAUGGCCCCCCACACUGGUACUGAGACACGGACCAGACUACUACGGGAGGCAGCAGUAAGGAAUAUUGGUCAAUGGAGGCAACUCUGAACCAGCCAUGCCGCGUGCAGGAAGACUGCCCUAUGGGUUGUAAACUGCUUUUAUUCGGGAAUAAACCUUAUUACGUGUAAUAAGCUGAAUGUACCGAAGGAAUAAGGAUCGGCUAACUCCGUGCCAGCAGCCGCGGUAAAAC
rnacentral:rRNA from 1 species